AAUAGAUACCCGGGUAGUCCACGCCGUAAACGAUGAGUGCUAGGUGUUAGGGGGGUCCAACCCCUUAGUGCUGAAGUUAACACAUUAAGCACUCCGCCUGGGGAGUACGACCGCAAGGUUGAAACUCAAAGGAAUUGACGGGGGCCCGCACAAGCAGUGGAGCAUGUGGUUUAAUUCGAAGCAACGCGAAGAACCUUACCAGGUCUUGACAUCCUCUGACAACCCUAGAGAUAGGGCGUUCCCCUUCGGGGGACAGAGUGACAGGUGGUGCAUGGUUGUCGUCAGCUCGUGUCGUGAGAUGUUGGGUUAAGUCCCGCAACGAGCGCAACCCUUGAUGUUAGUUGCCAGCAUUCAGUUGGGCACUCUAACGUGACUGCCGGUGACAAACCGGAGGAAGGUGGGGAUGACGUCAAAUCAUCAUGCCCCUUAUGACCUGGGCUACACACGUGCUACAAUGGGCGGUACAAAGGGCAGCGAAACCGCGAGGUGAAGCGAAUCCCAUAAAGCCGCUCUCAGUUCGGAUUGCAGG
rnacentral:rRNA from 1 species